rnacentral:tRNA from 1 species
GCUGAUGUAGCUUAAUGGCAGAGCAUCUCAUUCGUAACGAGAAGGUUGGGGGUUCGACUCCCCCCAUCAGCUCCA